CUGCUGCGCUGCUCCAUCUGCCGCCCCUCUGCAUCCCCGUGCGUCUCCCGUGUAACAGCACCUGUGCAUCGCCGUGCAUCCUUGUGCAUAACCCCGUGUGCAGCACCGGCAUCCCUGUGCAUCCCCUGCAGCAUCCCCUGCAUGCAUCCCCGUGCAUCCCUGCAGCACCACCUGCAUCCCUGUGCAUGCAUCCCUGUGCAUCCCUUGCAGCAUCACCUGUAUCCAUGUGUCAUCCAUCCCUGUGCAUCCCUGCAGCAUCGCCUGCAUCCUUGUGCAUGCACCCCUGUGCAUCCCCUGCAGCACCACCUGCAUCCCUGUGCAUGCAUCCCUGUGCAUGCAUCCCUGUGCAUCCCUUGCAGCAUCACCUGCAUCCCUGUGCAUCCCUUGCAGCAUCCCCUGCAUCCCUGUGCACGUCCCCCACAGCACCACCUGCAUCCCUGUGCAUCCGCUGCAGCAUCACCUGCAUCCCUGUGCAUGCACCCCUGUGCAUCCCCUGCAGCAUCACCUGCAUCCCUGUGCAUCCCUUGCAGCAUCCCCUGCAUCCCUGUGCACGUCCCCCACAGCACCACCUGCAUCCCUGUGCAUCCCCUGCAGCAUCCUCUGCAUCCCUGUGCGUCCAUCCCUGUGCAUCUCCCAUAGGACAUCAUCUGUGCAUUCCUGUGCAUGCAUCCCUGUGCAUCCAUCCCUGUGCAUCCCCUGCAGCACCACCUGCAUCCCUGUGCAUCCCCUGCAGCAUCCUCUGCAUCCCUGUGCAUCCAUCCCUGUGCAUGCAUCCCUGUGCACCCCCUGCAGCAUCCUCUGCAUCCCUGUGCAUCCAUCCCUGUGCAUCUCCCAUAGGGCAUCACCUGUGCAUCCCUGUGCAUCCCCUGCAGCAUCCCCUGCAUCCCUGUGCAUCCCUUGCAGCACCACCUGCAUCCCUGUGCACGCAUCCCUGUGCAUUCCCUGCACAAAUACAAGAGCCCCCCCCAAAUACAAGAGCCUUUAUUCUGUUGCACGGGACGGGCACACACCCCCCCCCCCCGGCCCGCGCGCCCCACAGCCGGCAGCGUGCAUCCCGAGAGCUGCGGCCCCGGGGGGGGGGC
rnacentral:lncRNA from 1 species